rnacentral:lncRNA from 1 species
GUGAUGACAAAUUGGGAAGUACAUGUAGGGAUCAGUUACAUUGUAGGUCAAUUUUGGCCUAACAUGUUGUAAAACAUCAACACUGCAACCACUAUAAAAAAAAAAGACUAGAAUGACAGUGUUCUUACAAAUCAGGAUUCAUCAUUAUAGCAACUUGAUAUAGCAAAAACAUUACUAGUACAAUAGUACAUUUUUUUUCUAUUAAAUUGUCGACAUAGAAUCACGAGACUUUUACUUAAAGGUAAAUCCAAAUUAAUAUUUAGAUCAAUAUGCUUUAUUUAUUUGUUUUUGGUUUGUGGCAUAAUUCCUAACACUGGUUUUCCGAUAUGCAGACCAAGUUCAUCCAUCAGCUGCUUUGCUCUCAAUGAUUUGUUGCACGACUAGUUUGUAACCUCAACUUAUAAUGCUCAAAACUCUUCGGAACUUGAAUAGUUCGGUACUUUCUUUUCCCCUUCGUUUCCUUUGUUAACAUGAAACCUUCAUCUACACAACCCUAUCGUCCUGCCUGCGAAUCUAUGUUGUAUUUUACUAAGGCGAAACGUCACAAUAUGCUAACGUCAGACCAAACCAUCGCACCUCAGCGAAAGGACCAUCGUACUUCGGCGUGGACCAUCGCACUUCAGCGUGACCAUCGCACUUCAGCGUCCCCAUCGCACCUCCGAGUCCUA